rnacentral:lncRNA from 1 species
CAUCUCCAGCUGGUUCUCUUUCUAUCUCCUGGGGCUUCAAAAUGGAGUCACUAGUGGGCAGCUGGUUUAAUUUAACUAAUUGCUUAAAGUCUUUACAAUGAAAUGUGAGGGGUGAAUAUUAGUUGAUGACAACAGAACAGGAGAUUUACCUCGCAUGUCUCCAGCUCUCAAACAAGCUUCCUCAAAUUAGGUCUUUUUCCAUGAGUGACUUACAUUACCAGGGAGAGGGAAAGUCCUUGUGUAUAGAUUACGCGUUGCCUAGAAUUUGUAACUUGGCUUACAAGCUGCAUAAGAGUGAUGAGUGGGUCAGGACGUGAUAGAAGGAACCCAUUAUUUCUGUUGUGACACUGUAGUAACAGUUGAAAUUUGCUGUGUGGUUGCUUUGUGCAAGGCCUAGAUCAAUACAACGACCCUCGAGUUUCAGGUGCAAGGGAUGGCGGAUCCAUAACUAGAACACGCGGCAGAGCAGCCUCUGUGAAUCCACGGAAGACGCACCAAGUCCUGGGGAAGCUCAGAGUAGAGAGAGGUCAGGGCCCAACUGUCAGUGUACAGUGGCCCAGCCUCUACCUGUACACCGAUGACUUCCAAGACUAGUGAAGACUACUCCUGAACUCCAAAUACACCCAUCAAACUACCUACUGGCAUCUCCACCUUGGUUUUAUGGACACCUCUAAAUCAACUGACAUUAAAACUGAUAUUACCUUCUAUUUAUAAACCAGCC